CACUCAGAUCUCUGCUGAAUUUUCUGCUUUGUAGGAAUUAUCAUCAAAUUGGUGCAGAACUAUUGAAAGCCCUCUCAAAAUCCAGAGCACAUGGGCCUCCAGCUGAAGACAACCUUACAACAUCAAAAGCAGCAAACUGAAAAACUAUGGGAUCUUCUAUCUUCCUGACCUGGGCAUUGAACCUG